rnacentral:rRNA from 1 species
AUACGUAGGGGGCGAGCGUUGUCCGGAAUGACUGGGCGUGAAGGGCGUGUAGGCGGCCGAUUAAGUCUGGAGUGAAAGUCCUGUUUUUAAGAUGGGAAUUGCUUUGGAUACUGUCGGGCUUGAGUGCAGGAGAGGUAAGUGGAAUUCCCAGUGUAGCGGUGAAAUGCGUAGAGAUUGGGAGGAACACCAGUGGCGAAGGCGACUUACUGGACUGUAACUGACGCUGAGGCGCGAAAGUGUGGGGAGCAAACAGGAUUAGAUACCCUGGUAGUCCACACUGUAAACGAUGAAUGCUAGGUGUAGGGGGUAUCGACCCCUUCUGUGCCGCAGUCAACACAAUAAGCAUUCCGCCUGGGGAGUACGGCCGCAAGGUUGAAACUCAAAUGAAUUGACGGGG